GGGCCCGCACAAGCGGUGGAGUAUGUGGUUUAAUUCGAUGCAACGCGAAGAACCUUACCAGGGUUUGACAUCCUGCGAAUUUCUGGGAAACCGGAAAGUGCCUUCGGGAGCGCAGUGACAGGUGGUGCAUGGCUGUCGUCAGCUCGUGUCGUGAGAUGUUGGGUUAAGUCCCGCAACGAGCGCAACCCACGUCUUUAGUUGCCAGCAUUUAGUUGGGCACUCUAGAGAGACCGCCGGUGAUAAACCGGAGGAAGGUGUGGAUGACGUCAAGUCAUCAUGCCCCUUACAUCCUGGGCUACACACGUACUACAAUGCUACGGACAAAGGGCAGCAAACUCGCGAGAGCUAGCAAAUCCCAUAAACCGUGGCUCAGUUCAGAUCGUAGGCUGCAACUCGCCUACGUGAAGGAGGAAUCGCUAGUAA
rnacentral:rRNA from 1 species